CCAGUUAUACAAACAAAUGACAUCAAGCAUGGAGUGCUGAAUAUUGGCGUGGGACGCCAAUUUGAUUGUUGUGCAUAUGCGCGGUGUCAUGCGUACGCAUGAUGCUGAAUUUACCACGUGUGCGUACGCACAAUUGCAGAUGCAUACGCACUAGCGGCGUGGGACACUGAUGAUCUUGCUCCUCCUUCACGUGGGAUGCCACUGAUUUCCCUUUUCUCAAGUUCAAAUAAUUUAAACAUUAGCGUGGCACAUUAAAGAAGCGGCGUGGGACGCUGGGAUCAUGCUUCCUUUCAUUCUUCAUAUUUCAUUGCAUGCUUGUUUCCUUGCUUUAUUAUUUGCUUUGUACGCCAUGCUUCGUUCCUUGCUUCAUUCUUCAUUAUUAGUGUGGUACGCCAUUGCAUGCAUUCCUUUGCUUCAUUAAUUGUUGUGUGCUUCUCAUGAUUCAUUGAUUAAUAACUACCACAAAAACGGAAGAUAACGGCGGAAAAUUAGUAGCUGUUUUGACAACAGCCGCUACUUGUUAGUUUUCUGGCGGUUUUGGUGGUGACCACUGGAAAAAGCAGCAAUUUCUUUUGGUGAUGGUUCAACCUCCUUUUCUCUUGAUCUCAUUUUUCUUUCGUUAUCGCUUACAAGAGCCAGAACCCAAUGUCUCUCCUCCUCCCUCGGAUUCUCUUGCCAUAGCAUCUUGCCACCAUCAAAUUUGACCUUUGACGCCGCCAACCCCAUUAGACGCACCCUUUUCCCUUUUUUUCUCUCUUUGAAUAAACAUCCCCAAACCUUGCUAACCCUAAAUCUUCUUCCCCGAGGUACCAUUGGCGCUAUUUAUGCUCGUUCAGACGAAGACGACGACACUGGGCUCUCUAUUUUAUCUCGUCUGCCAGAUUUGCUCGCCAUCUCCUCCAAUUCCUACGUGGUUCAAAUCUGCUGCAGCUAUAUAGAUUCCUGAUGAAGAUAUUGGACUUUAUGAGGUUGCCAAGAAAAUCGAUGACAUAGUAUGGCUUCGGCACCUCGAGGAUCCUCUUGCUCCUCCUUACUCUUCUCUUCCUUGGCCUCAACCUUGGUACCCAGGUGUUUCUGCUUCUUCCACUUUCAUAAGCAUUCAACAACCUCACUUAUUUUAACCUAGAUUAGUUGAGGUGGGGUUUUAUAUCCCAUGCUGGUCUUUGGGAUAAAAGUCACUUGAUGAGACAUUGAGAAGAAGAACGGCAACAACUACCAGAUGAAAAUCCUCAAAAGUAUAUAUAUUUGUGCUUUACUUAUCUUCAAAAACUGCACAUGAAUGCAAAGUAGAGAAAAAGUGAGGAAGAACUAACAACACUCAAGCAAGACGCUAUCGAUGGAAAAAUAUCACCCUUAAACUCUGCCAGGAAAGUAAAGAAGUCUAAGAAGCAAAAAAUACGAGAGGAGUCUUAAACAUCACAUUGGAGUUUAAUUUUGUGCCAAUAUUUUUGUUCCCGGGUACAUUUCUAUUUUUUAUUGUUAACUAAAGGAUUUUGCUUUAAAUGCCUAAUCUAUACUUCAUUAGCUUUUGCCCUCAAUUUUCAAGCAAUUGAAAAAGGAUAGCUUAACAUACAUGAUGGUUUUAUUAACUUGUGUUCUGGAUAAACUUAUUAGUAACCUCUCUUAGAAAAGCAAAGAGAUCGAAAAGCUUUGCACGGCGGAUGGAAAAAGAGUAAUGGCAUAAACUUUGUUGAUACAGUCGGAACAACAUGGGAGAAGAGUCGAAAAAGGAGAGUUAUAGAUCACAGUGCACAAAAAAAAGAUGGCUCCUAUAUCAAUGAUGAAGAAAGAGCAAUUGGUAAAAUAAUUGAGGAGAUUGAACAACAGGAUGAGUCUUCUAGAGUGUUGUCUCAAAAUGAUUCCAUUGCUCAGGUUUUCGAAAAAGAGAAACCGGGUAGAGUACGUGGUGUGGGUUUUGGACCGACUCCUAGUCAACUCUUCGGUCCGAAUUCACAUGUGCCAGUCAAUAGAGUCCAAGUAGAGGAGACUCAGAGGAAGCUGGUAGAACUGCAGGCAGAGCUGGAAGGCGAGAAGUUGAAGAGGAAGGCGGUGGAGGAUGAGGCAGCAACAGAGAAGAAAAAGAGGCAACGAUGGAAAGUGCUUUGAUUUAUCUGUAUCAACGGCAGGGUGAGGAGCUCCCACUAGACAUCGCUGUAGGGAUGAGUUCCAUAAAAUGAUAGAGUGAAGAAUAGUGUAUUAGGAUUGAAGAUAGUUUAGUUUGAAGCAAACUUUUUUUUUGUUAGUAACGCCAUGCAUGCUUGCAUGAUUUGUCACUCCCUUGGCACGCUUUUGGGGCCACGCUUUCAAAAGCGUGGUCUAAGACUCAAAGCGUGUCAAAAAAAAUUUUUGCU